UGUUGAGUUUUUGUUUGUUUGCUGACUCUUUCAUCUGAGAGUUAUCUGUGGUUUUAUCUUAUCCUAAACCCGUCCGUCAUGAUUUUAUCUUCUUCAAGUCUACAACAGAGAAACCGAGAGGAGCAGCUCCAACAAAUUUGACGAUUGGUACGCGCAGCAGCCUAUGACGAAUCCUCAGUCGUAACUCGUAGGAGAUAUAAUACUCGGACUGCCGGGACUAUUGAGUAGGGAGUAUGGAACACGGAACUUUUUGAAGGAGUGUAGAACAAAAUAAACACAUGACACAUACCGUACUCUAUGAUGUCUACCAAAGAGAAAAGUGGCAGUCAACUCUUUGCAUGGAAGGUACUGAAGUAUUUUCGUAAUUCAAACUGAAGAAGGCAUUUAGAUUCAAGAAGGGGCGGUGCAAGACUAGGUGAAAUAGAAUUGGAAGCUCUGUGCAGGCAGGAGUCCUGGUGCAGUCUGUAAAUGUUCAAGAAAUACUGUG